rnacentral:rRNA from 1 species
AUUGAACGCUGGCGGCAUGCCUUACACAUGCAAGUCGAACGGUAACGGGCCUUCGGGUGCCGACGAGUGGCGAACGGGUGAGUAAUACAUCGGAACGUGCCCGAUCGUGGGGGAUAACGAGGUGAAAGCUUUGCUAAUACCGCAUACGAUCUACGGUUGAAAGCAGUGGACCGCAAGGCCUUGCGCGGACGGAGCGGCCGAUGGCAGCUUAGGUAGUUGGUGGGAUAAAAGCUUACCAAGCCGACGAUCUGUAGCUGGUCUGAGAGAAUGAUCAGCGACACUGGGACUGAGACACGGCCAAGACUCCUACGGGAGGCAGCAGUGGGGAAUUUUGGACAAUGGGCGGAAGCAUGAUCCAGCCAUGCCGCGUGCAGGAUGAAGGCCUUCGGGUUGUAAACUGCUUUUGUACGGAACGAAAAGCCUUCUUUUAAUACAGGAGGGUCAUGACGGUACCGGAAGAAUAAGCACCGGCUAACUACGUG